ACGCCUAAUCCCCCGAUAGAUCGGGGGAGCGGGGGAACCACCCGCAGAUGCGGGCUCCGGGGUGAAUCUCGCCACAGGCGAGUAGGCCAACUCCUUCGGCCGAACCCGUCAGCUAACCUCGCAGGCGUAGGAGGAGAG
rnacentral:sRNA from 1 species